ACUUCAUCGAUUUGUUUGCUACGUACAUACAUAUGAAAUGCAUGUCGCGUUUACAAUGAAUAAGAAAAGCUCGUGUAUAAGCGAUUUCGGUGUUAGUUGUUAAUUGUAAGACCGCUAUGCACGUCGUUUAUUUUAGAAACAUUUAUCCAAAAUUAUAAAUAUUAUUGAUUAUUCAAGUUCAAGAAUAAUUUUUAAGAACUAUGUUUGGCUGAAUAACUAUCAUUUCUUGGAAAUUUUGAAGAAAAACGAAUCGACACUCGCCACUUCUGACACUUCUCCACUUCGUUGAACUAUCACCACGGUGUAAUGAUUACAACGGCAGACGAUGUUCGGAAAAAAGGAUGCAAAACUAUGGCCGGAAGUUGUGACGACUCAAUGAAGUACUACGUCGCGUUUAUACAUAUCCGACCCGCGAAGAUUUAAAUACACUUAUAAUGCAAGCAAUUCAAUAAUAUUAUUUUGUAGAAUCUAAAUUGCCAACAUGAAAUAAUAAGUAAUAAAUAAA